UACGUAGGGUGCGAGCGUUAAUCGGAAUUACUGGGCGUAAAGCGUGCGCAGGCGGUUUUACAAGCCAGAUGUGAAAUCCCCGGGCUUAACCUGGGAACUGCAUUUGGGACUGUAAGGCUAGAGUGUGUCAGAGGGAGGUGGAAUUCCACGUGUAGCAGUGAAAUGCGUAGAUAUGUGGAGGAACAUCGAUGGCGAAGGCAGCCUCCUGGGAUAACACUGACGCUCAUGCACGAAAGCGUGGGGAGCAAACAGGAUUAGAUACCCUGGUAGUCCACGCCCUAAACGAUGUCAACUAGUUGUCGGAGGAGAGAUUCUUUGGUAACGCAGCUAACGCGUGAAGUUGACCGCCUGGGGAGUACGGUCGCAAGAUUA
rnacentral:rRNA from 1 species